UCGUUGCAUUUCGGUUUCCGGACUCAUUCAUUGAGGGGAAAAUGCUGCGUUUGCGGUCCAUUCAUGAGGCACUCCAACGCACACAGAUGCCAUCCGCUUUUCCUCUGUGACAAUCUGUCUGACAUUUGCCAGAUUUCCGAAGGCCAACAAACACGUUUCUCGCAUACGAUAUCACCUUCCCAGUUCCCUUGCGCCGAGUUAUGAUUUGAUGACAGUGCGCUGUGACGUUUAAAUUGAAUUUUCGAUUCUAGCAUGUUUAUUUCACAUCUGACUUUGUCCAAACUUUUCUGCCGAGCACAUUCUAAAUUUAGCCGAAAAGGCAGCCAAACAAAAAGCCAAAUACAAGAUAUUUCCGCUGACAGUGAUGUGCGUAUAUAUCUUUGAAGGCGUGGCGAGGGGAAAAGUUCCAUCGGGCAAAAACGACAGCUCUCUUAAUGGGCUUUUCCACGGCAUUUUCCGCAAAGCCCGCUUAAUUGAGCGGCCCAAAAAGCAACAUUGACUCGCCCGAGGCAGUGUAGCAGAAAAAUGCAAA